UGCGUAAGAUAGCCUGGGAUUGUGCGUCUGACGGGCGCUUGUAGUUGUUCCGCAAGUACGGACGCUUGCCGCGACUGCUCGGUCAGCGGGGACGGCGCGACGUAGAAUGCGUCCGAGAUCGGGAGACCACACGUCUCAACUCCAGU